rnacentral:lncRNA from 1 species
UUAGAAAUAAGUGGUGGCUUUUUUGGCACGAUACCUCCGUACUUCUUCUUAAUGACUUCCUCCUAACAAGGCACAAUGUAACAAAAGCAGUGGUUAUUAAAUUUUAUACAUUACAACCAAACAUAGUUGUUAAAAGCCAUCGCCUCUUGCGUCAAGGCACAUUUUUUCAGGCAAGGCGAGGUAUUUGCGCCUUACGUCAAGGCAAUUGCGCUUUAACUCUCCAUGUGAUGGUUCAGGCGCAAAUUCCGGCGAGAUUCCUAGAUUAUGGAAAGUUUACUUUUAUCCAGUGUUGUACUCGGUCCUCGGAACCCCUCCGAGGCGACUUCCUCCUAGGCGGACUCAAUUAGUCGGCCUCAGUCAAACUCGGUCAAACUCGGUCAAACUCGGCGCCUAGCCGGAAAGAGUCGGCCUAGUCGGUCUAGGCGGUCAACGUGGUUUGUUGACUUUUAAUUAGUCAAAAUCGGCCUACUCGGCCUUGUACUCGGACUACUCGACCUUGUACUCGGACUACUCGACCUUGUACUCAGACUAGUCGGACUUGUAUUCAGAAUAUUUGAACUUUAAACAUGUUUCAUUUUAAAUUAUACUCAUUACCAUGUCCGCGUACUCCCCGAGUACUCCGAUUACUCCCAACUCCCCAGUCGGCCGACUAG